UAAUGGCUCACCAAGGCGUCGACGGGUAGCCGGCCUGAGAGGGUGACCGGCCACACUGGGACUGAGACACGGCCCAGACUCCUACGGGAGGCAGCAGUGGGGAAUAUUGCACAAUGGGCGGAAGCCUGAUGCAGCAACGCCGCGUGAGGGAUGACGGCCUUCGGGUUGUAAACCUCUUUUAGCAGGGAAGAAGCGAAAGUGACGGUACCUGCAGAAAAAGCGCCGGCUAACUACGUGCCAGCAGCCGCGGUAAUACGUAGGGCGCAAGCGUUAUCCGGAAUUAUUGGGCGUAAAGAGCUCGUAGGCGGUUUGUCGCGUCUGCUGUGAAAUCCCGAGGCUCAACCUCGGGCCUGCAGUGGGUACGGGCAGACUAGAGUGCGGUAGGGGAGAUUGGAAUUCCUGGUGUAGCGGUGGAAUGCGCAGAUAUCAGGAGGAACACCGAUGGCGAAGGCAGAUCUCUGGGCCGUAACUGACGCUGAGGAGCGAAAGGGUGGGGAGCAAACAGGCUUAGAUACCCUGGUAGUCCACCCCGUAAACGUUGGGAACUAGUUGUGGGGUCCAUUCCACGGAUUCCGUGACGCAGCUAACGCAUUAAGUUCCCCGCCUGGGGAGUACGGCCGCAAGGCUAAAACUCAAAGGAAUUGACGGGGACCCGCACAAGCGGCGGAGCAUGCGGAUUAAUUCGAUGCAACGCGAAGAACCUUACCAAGGCUUGACAUAUACGAGAACGGGCCAGAAAUGGUCAACUCUUUGGACACUCGUAAACAGGUGGUGCAUGGUUGUCGUCAGCUCGUGUCGUGAGAUGUUGGGUUAAGUCCCGCAACGAGCGCAACCCUCGUUCUAUGUUGCCAGCACGUAAUGGUGGGAACUCAUGGGAUACUGCCGGGGUCAACUCGGAGGAAGGUGGGGAUGACGUCAAAUCAUCAUGCCCCUUAUGUCUUGGGCUUCACGCAUGCUACAAUGGCCGGUACAAAGGGCUGCAAUACCGUGAGGUGGAGCGAAUCCCAAAAAGCCGGUCCCAGUUCGGAUUGAGGUCUGCAACUCGACCUCAUGAAGUCGGAGUCGCUAGUAAUCGCAGAUCAGCAACGCUGCGGUGAAUACGUUCCCGGGUCUUGUACACACCGCCCGUCAAGUCAUGAAAGUCGGUAACACCUGAAGCCGGUGGCCUAACCCUUGUGGAGGGAGCCGUCGAAGGUG
rnacentral:rRNA from 1 species